rnacentral:pre_miRNA from 1 species
UUAAAUCAAAUUUAUAUGCAGUUGGAACAGCGCCCCUGGCGGCAAACGUAGGCAAACGUUCCAACUCCAUACAAAUUUAAGUUA